GGGUGGAUGGAAGAAAGAUCAAUGGCUGGGGGAUGAGGCCCAGACUGCAAUCUGGGCUCCAUUAAAUCUUCAAAUGAAUUGAUUUUUAUCUCUUGUCUUUUAUCUAGCCGUCCUUCAAGUGACAAUUUCUCUGGGCAAAGUGGAACUCAGUGUGGGCGAAUCCAAGUUCUUCACGUGCACAGCUAUCGGAGAAGCCAUCAGCAUCGAAUGGUACAGCCCUGAUGGGGAGAAGGUUGUCUCCAACGAGCGGGUGGUGGUGCAGACGGAGGGUGUGCGAUCACGGCUGACCAUCUACAAUGCCAACGAGGAGGAUGCCGGCAUCUACCAUUGCCAAGUGACUGACGCCGAUGGGAAUUCUCAGGAAGCCACCGUCCGGGUGGAAAUCUACAAAAAGCUGACCUUCCACGACAUCAGAUCCCCCCAGGAGUUCAGAGAGGGGGAGGAUGCCGACGUGAUCUGCCAGGUCAGCAGCUCGCCGGCACCGAUAGUAACCUGGCUGCACAACAACCACGAGAUCACCACCGUGCUCAGGGACAACGUUAUGUUUGAUGACGACGGCAACUUGAAGAUUCGACGCAUUAGUAAGAAACACGAAGGCAUCUACAGAUGUGAGGGGCGAGUGGAGGCAAGGGGAGAGAUUGAUUUCAGAGACAUCACUGUCAUUGUCAAUG